GGUAAAACAGUUUUACAGCCCUUUAUAAAAUUGAACUAGUUGACAUUCAGGUAGUAAUUAAGCCCAAUUUGGCCGCUAAAUUUUGCUUCCACUGCAUCUGAUAUUCCCUUAUAAUUACCUGUAGAUCGAUAUUGGAGUACUCCUUGUCUCAAAUUUUAAUUAUGAUUAAGUUCAUUGGAAUCAUGAAGGUUGAAAUUUCUGUUUCUCAUCAUUUUCUUUCAGUA
rnacentral:lncRNA from 1 species